GAUGAACGCUGGCGGCGUGCUUAACACAUGCAAGUCGAGCGAAGCACUUAAGUUCGAUUCUUCGGAUGAAGACUUUUGUGACUGAGCGGCGGACGGGUGAGUAACGCGUGGGUAACCUGCCUCAUACAGGGGGAUAACAGUUAGAAAUGGCUGCUAAUACCGCAUAAGACCACGGUACUGCAUGGUACAGUGGUAAAAACUCCGGUGGUAUGAGAUGGACCCGCGUCUGAUUAGGUAGUUGGUGAGGUAACGGCCCACCAAGCCGACGAUCAGUAGCCGACCUGAGAGGGUGACCGGCCACAUUGGGACUGAGACACGGCCCAGACUCCUACGGGAGGCAGCAGUGGGGAAUAUUGCACAAUGGGCGAAAGCCUGAUGCAGCGACGCCGCGUGAAGGAUGAAGUAUUUCGGUAUGUAAACUUCUAUCAGCAGGGAAGAAAAUGACGG
rnacentral:rRNA from 1 species